UCCAGCAUAACUCCUGCUCACCUGAUGCAAUGGGCCGCCGUGAGGACGUAGUUGCUGGCGAUCAAGGUGCCACCGCAUGUGUGCCUCCACGUGUCAUCUCUGAGUAGUGUGCUCACCUGCCAGGGCCAGCUGUGGGGCCUGGCAUCGUCUCCUCCCACCACUCGGGCUGAGAGGUUUGGCAGGAAGCUGGGGACCCCACAGCUGGAGGCUGGGGGAGACAAGAGAGGAGGUGCACAGAUGCUGAAGAUGGGAGUUGGAGCGCUUUGCUCCGUGCUGGACCAUGCUUCUGGGGGACAGAAAACCUAGAGCCUUCACUUCCUAGCUGUGUGACCUUGUGCUAGUGCCUCAAUGUCUCUGUGUUUCCACACACUCAUCUAUAAAAUAGGGGUAAAAAGUGGCACCUGCCUCAUGCUGGUGGGGAGUGUCUGCCAGAUGGCAAGCACCAUGUAGAUGUAGCCUGCUAACUGUUGUCAUCUGGUUCUUAAGAGAAAGCUUGAGUCUGACAGUCACUGGGCCCUUUGGCCUUUGGGGGCCCCUUCCUCCAUUAAAAAAAUACUAAAAUUUAUGUCUUAUGAUUGCA